AUUUAUAUAAGAAAAACAAAAAUAGCUACCUUUGUGUGAAUUACAGUGCUAAUGAUGAGUUCUUUGUAUCAGACAUGAAUGGACAGAUUCAAGAUUUCCUUUCACCUAGGCUUGGUUCAGCAGCGGGCAAUGCUCAAGACAGAGUUGGGCGCACAUCAUAUAUAUACAUAUGUUGUCGUGUAUUAAUAAAUGGAGAUGAGCAGAAGUAGAGAUGAGAUAUCUAUCCGACUGUCAUCCUUCCAAGACUUGGGUUUGUCAUCUCUGUCAGCGUCCGCCUCCGCUUCCUUCGUUGGUUGUCGUUUCUUUGUACACUGCUGUAGUUUAGAGAUCAUAAUAUAUUUUCCAUGGAUACAAUUGAAUACGACACCCAAUUUGCUAUAUAAUUGUUCAGCUCUCUAUCAUAGCGAUUCAUACAAAAUAUCAUGCAUAGUGGUCCCAGCUUAAGUAGAAUAUAACCAUUGGAUUGUUCAAACUUUGCUCGUGUUUCGCAGGGCACCAUAACUCUAAUCCGACAUGAGUAGUGCAACCACGACAGUGAGCAGUGGAACCGCAAGAUAGAGAUAGAUACAAGUAGAAUAUAACUGAUCAUAUUUCUAAAAUGAUCACACUACUUAUGGUGCCGGAAGAGAAGGCAUCAGUGAUAGUGGGCUUGGUGAUGAGGGCAUCAAUACGAAGAGAUUAAUUCACAACUUUGUUCUUGAUAGGUUGUACAAAUAUACAAGGGUUAACUGGCCAUGCAAAAACUGUUGUGAGGCAUUAAAUGGUACUCCCUCUGUAAACUAAUAUAAGAGCGUUUAGAUCACUAUUUUAGUAUUCUAAACACUCUUAUAUUAGUUUACAGAGGUAGUACUAUAUGUUUUUGGCUU